UGCAGAUGAUGUGAAAGAAUAUUUGCUAUCUGAGCAGUGAUGCUGACACAUCACCACCAAGAUCGCUGAUGCA